CAUCCGAACCUGUGCCUCAUAGGACUUUUCCUCGCUGCUCCCCUUCUCUGCGGGGGUAUUAUUUCCAUCAAGAGAGAUCUCUUCACAGCCCAAAUUCUCUUCCUUUUAAGUGGGAUUUUCUUGUCUCUGAACGAGAUCUCGACAAAUGAAAUUAUUAUGACAACAGUGAUUCCAACCAGCUACAGUUGGGCAUAUUCCGUAAAGUCAGUUGGAAAAUCAGCUGCAAAUAAUGGGGUUCCAGUAAUUUUCAAUAAGGUAAGUAGCGUCUUUUUAACUUUAGAAAUUGUGUGAGCUCUAAUAAACACGAAGAAUAACCUUGAUAAUACUGUUUUAUCUCCCUCCAACAGAUCUUUGUAAAAGUGA